rnacentral:lncRNA from 12 species
GACACAGGCAGAGGGAGAAGCAGGCUCCAUGCAGGAGCCCAAUGCAAGAUUCGAUCCCGGAACCCCAGGAUCAUGCCCUGAGCCGAAGGCAGAGAGGCUCAACCACUGAGCCACCCAGGUGUCCCAUAAUGUUUCUAUUUUGAGUGCAAUUGAUUUUUUUUUUUUUUUUAAGAAGGCUCCACACCCAGCAUGGAGCCCAACACAGGACCUGAACUCAUGACCGUGAGAUGAACAAUGUAUCUGGAAUCAACAACAGACACUUAAUUGACUGAGGCAACCAAGCACCCCAAGUACAAUUGAUUAUUUAAGGAAUGUCAACAACCUUGAUUUCUUUCCUGAACCUAUGGAGCAACAGUAACAAUCUCUGAUUCACUUAAAGGCACUUGCAGAUUUUUCCCUUCUUCAGCAACCUAUAAGCAGCAGAUAUGGAUGAUAUACAUGACAUCAUUUUCUGUAUUAUCUACUGAAAACACAAAAUGUCCUUUGGUUUCCAGAAGCAGACUAAGGGAAAUUACACUAAUUAUCCUAAAGGAAAUCUCUCAAAGAGGAAUUUUAUAAGACGUAUAAUUUCUACAGUGUGAAGACAUAAAAAGGUGACAUUGGAAAAUUAUGCCAAAGAAGGGAAAAAAGAGGGAGGCAUCUUCAGAUUCACAUGUUUAGGUUACAAAGGAAAAUCAAUUAUGUAGAAGGGGAGAAUUUUGAACCAAGUGUUGGUAUAAUUUGUAAUGCUAUGCAGGCCUUAGACUUAAAAAAGAAAUAGUCAACCUAUCAUUGUUUCUAAGUCUUCUCAGCUUACUUUAUUAUUGUUGUUGUUAUAAAUGACUACCUUAACCUCCCCUUUCUUUUAAUAUCUAGGUUAAGAAUCAUUGCCCAUAUGUGUUCUUUAAAGUCAUCCCACUUUUGUCUUGCUGUCCUUUUCAUAGCUGUAUUUCCCAUUUGAAUUCACAUAAGUGUUAUCUAUUUGCUCUCUGAUUUCUAAACUUACUCUUUGGAUGACUUACUAUAUUUCUAUAAUAAAGCCCUGACUGUUUACUGUUGUUUGUGCCA